UACGUAGGGUGCAAGCGUUGUCCGGAAUUAUUGGGCGUAAAGAGCUCGUAGGCGGUUUGUUGCGUCGGCUGUGAAAUCCCGAGGCUCAACCUCGGGUCUGCAGUCGAUACGAGCAAACUAGAGUGUUGCAGGGGAGACUGGAAUUCCUGGUGUAGCGGUGAAAUGCGCAGAUAUCAGGAGGAACACCGGUGGCGAAGGCGGGACUCUGGGCCGAUACUGACGCUGAGGAGCGAAAGCAUGGGGGAGCGAACAGG
rnacentral:rRNA from 1 species